ensembl:lncRNA
CAAUACUUGGGUUGCAGUCACGUGGUUCUGAUGACGUGCGGAGGCAGCGCGAUUUUUGAGUGGAGGGCGGAAGUAAACAUGGAGGACACUGUGGAGAGUCAGGAGAGCAGCUAUUGUGCAACUUUAGACCCCGUUUCUCGGGAGAGAUAUAAACAGAUAGUUAAAAAAUAUAUCGGACGUGAUCCGUAUUCUUUGAAAAUGUCCGAAUACACCACAGAAGUAAAGGAUUUGCCUACUAUCGACGCUGUGGAUAUCACCAACUACUUGGUCCUCCAGACUUCUUACUACACUAGGGAGCAAAUGAAAGCUUUCAAGAGUCUGGAGGCGUACAAUUUUUUUGUCAGCGGGUGGGUCCACAACCUUGGAACAAAACGUCUCCGUGAUGGAUACAGUUUGGUGUUUGCAAGGGUGAGUGUUUGUUCUUAUAUUGCUUUAUCUUAAACACGCUAACAGUUAGCGUUAGCGGCUUUAACGUCAACAAACAUGCCAAAUCCUUAGGACUUCGUUAGAGUGACAGUUGUUUGUUUCAAGGUAAACCAUUCUCAGAGGUCUAACGAGACACCUCUGAAGACUUGGGUAAUUGCAAAGGAGGAUGGAGAAGUGAUUGCAGCCCAUUGCAAUUGUAUGGCAGGACUAUCAGAAUCAUGCUCGCAC